UGGAUCCAGACUUUGAUUAUGGCUCAGGAUGAACGCUAGCUACAGGCUUAACACAUGCAAGUCGAGGGGAAACGAUAUUGGAAGCUUGCUUCCGACAGGCGUCGACCGGCGCACGGGUGAGUAACGCGUAUCCAACCUGCCCACCACUUGGGGAUAACCUUGCGAAAGUAAGACUAAUACCCAAUGAUAUCUCUAGAAGACAUCUGAAAGAGAUUAAAGAUUUAUCGGUGAUGGAUGGGGAUGCGUCUGAUUAGCUUGUUGGCGGGGUAACGGCCCACCAAGGCGACGAUCAGUAGGGGUUCUGAGAGGAAGGUCCCCCACAUUGGAACUGAGACACGGUCCAAACUCCUACGGGAGGCAGCAGUGAGGAAUAUUGGUCAAUGGGCGAGAGCCUGAACCAGCCAAGUAGCGUGCAGGAUGACGGCCCUAUGGGUUGUAAACUGCUUUUAUAAGGGAAUAAAGUGAGCCUCGUGAGGCUUUUUGCAUGUACCUUAUGAAUAAGGACCGGCUAACUCCGUGCCAGCAGCCGCGGUAAUACGGAAGGUCCGGGCGUUAUCCGGAUUUAUU
rnacentral:rRNA from 1 species